rnacentral:rRNA from 1 species
UGUUCCGGGGGCGGAUGCCUGGGCUCAGAUUUGAANCGCUGGGCGGGCAUGCCCUUAACAUCAUGNCAAGUCCGAACCGGCAGGCACCGGGGGCCAAUCCCUGGUGGUCGAGUGGGCGAACCGGGUGAGUCAAUACAUCCGGAACGUGUCCCUGUAGUGGGGGAUAGUCCCGGCGAAAGCCGGAUUAAUACCGCAUACGCUCUAUCGGAGGAAAGGGGGGGAUCUUAGGACCUCUCCGCUAUCAGGGGCGGCCGAUGGCAGAUUAGUCUAGUUGGUGGGGUUAAGGCCUACCAAGGCGACGAUCCUGUAGCUGGUCCUGAGAGGACGACCAGCCACACUGGGACUGAGACACGGCCCAGACUCCCUACGGGAGGCAGCAGUGGGGAAUUUUGGACAAUGGGCGUCAAGCCUGAUCCAGCAAUGCCGCGUGUGUGAAGAAGGCUUUCCGGGUUGUAAAGCACUUUUGUCCGGACACACGAAAACUCUGGGUUAAUAUCCC